rnacentral:miRNA from 1 species
GUAGGAGAAUGGGGAAGAGAGAGA